UACGUAGGGGUCGAGCGUUGUCCGGAGUUACUGGGCGUAAAGCGUGCGCAGGCGGCUCAUUGCGCCCGGCGUGAAAGCCCCCGGCUCAACCGGGGAGGGUCGUCGGGGACGGGUGAGCUUGAGGGUAUCAGGGGCUGGUGGAAUUCCCGGUGUAGUGGUGAAAUGCGUAGAGAUCGGGAGGAACACCCGUGGCGAAGGCGGCCAGCUGGGAUACACCCGACGCUGAGGCACGAAGGCGUGGGGAGCGAAC
rnacentral:rRNA from 1 species